rnacentral:rRNA from 1 species
AUGCCAGUUCAUCCAACUGUUCACGCUCAACUAAGUCUUGCAUUGAAAUUUGCAAGUAACCUUGCUUCAACAGAAGAGAAUUGGGUGAUGGACGUGAUAUCAACAUGGUUAUGGACUACCAUGUAUGUUCAUAAAUAUGUACACCCUUCGGGGUCGGGCCCACCGCCACCGCGGACUAGGCCGGCGGCAGCGGCGGCAGGAGGGGAGACGAGAGAGACACUAGGAUUGGGGUCCCCUGGCGUCGCCCUAGGGAGGCGACGCGAGAGGGUGAGGAGACGCAACUUGGAACAUGGAGUAUUGAUUCAUGAAGAUAAGACAUGCAUUGCGCAAGAAGACAAGACAACAUGGUGUAUAUAUAAGUAUGCAUCAAAUAUUCAUAUCUACAAUAUGGUCAUGCCAGUUCAUCCAACUGUUCACGCUGAACUACAUAUUGCAUUGCAAUUUUCAAGUAACCUUGCUUCAACAGAAGAGAAUUGGGUGAUGGACAUGAUAUCAACAUGGUUAUGGACUACCAUGUAUGUUCAUAAGUAUGUACACCGUUUGGCGUCGGGCCCGCCGCCACCGCGGACUAGGCCGGCGGCAGCGGCGGCAGGAGGGAAGAUGGGAGGGACCUGGCGGCACUAG